rnacentral:rRNA from 1 species
UACGUAGGGAGCUAGCGUUGUCCGGAAUCAUUGGGCGUAAAGCGCGCGUAGGCGGCCCGGUAAGUCCGCUGUGAAAGUCAAAGGCUCAACCUUUGAAUGUCAGCGGAUACUGCCGGGCUAGAGUCCGGAAGAGGCGAGUGGAAUUCCCGGUGUAGCGGUGAAAUGCGCAGAUAUCGGGAGGAACACCAAUGGCGAAGGCAGCUCGCUGGGACGUUACUGACGCUGAGACGCGAAAGCGUGGGGAGCAAACAGG